rnacentral:rRNA from 1 species
GACGAACCGUGCGAACGUUGUUCGGAAUCACUGGGCUUAAAGGGCGCGUAGGCGGCCAGGUAGGUCUGGUGUGAAAACUCGAGGCUUAACCUCGAGAUGUCAUCGGAAACCAUUUGGCUAGAGUCCGGAAGAGGAGAGUGGAAUUCCUGGUGUAGCGGUGAAAUGCGCAGAUAUCAGGAAGAACACCCGUGGCGAAGGCGGCUCUCUGGGACGGUACUGACGCUGAGACGCGAAAGCGUGGGGAGCGAACAGG